AGAACAUCUCCUUUUUGCUCCUAUGGGUGUUUUCUUGGUGCUACUUUUUCUUGGUGGCAGGAGAUGGAUAGAUUCUGCUUCUAUUCCUCCUCCUUUUCUGUUCCAGUGAGGGUGACAGGCAUCAUGGGAUGAAAUGGGAUUUUAAGGUAACUGUCACAGUGCAUGUGGGUUAUCUUGACCUGGAUUUGUAUGGUUUUCCUCACCUCUAUUUUGUUUCUUGAUGGUGAGGUGAGAUUCAGACUGUCUCUCCUGAGGUUCCCAUAGCUCAAAUCGCAUACAGUCUUGUUCCCAAACCCCCCACCCCCCCUUCAGUCCUCCAGAGACAGACAAAAAACACAAAAAGCCCAUAAAGCCCAUUAAGGAAAAAAAAAAAAAAAAAAAAAAAAAGCUAUAUUGGAUAGGUCUUUGAAUCGAUAUAAGCAAUGGAAAUUAUUUCUUUGAUGGUUCCAAGGUCUACCGUUAUCAUUGUUACAGAAUGCGAGCACAUUACAGAAGUGCACAGAGUGAGAAGUACUUGGUUCCUGGAGCUGGCUUUUUUUCCUUCCUGCUCCCCCAGACAUCUGGGAUCAUUGCAACUCAAUUUUCCACUUUUUUGAUAAUAUUCUUGGAAACAACAUACCCAAACUCUUGGGUCAAAUCAGCAUUGUGUUGACACAGCAAUAUGAUUCUGAGUGGUAAAGGUGUGAAAGUUGACUUUUAGGAGACCUUUUGGUUGUGGGGACAAGCUUAGCACUAUUUGGAGAAGGGAAGAACAUCAAGGCUUUUUUUAGAAACCUCACACUAACUUGAUCUUUAACUUCCCUUAUCUCACAGUAGUGGUGCUGUACAGAUGGUAUUCCAUACACUCACUACUGUUUUGUGUUUGUGUGGUGUGUGUGAGCAUGCACAUAAGAUUUUCCUCAAGACUGCUGUGUUACAAAACAGUUGGAAUUAAAAACAGGGAAAAAGGAGAAUUUCACUAGCCUGGCUGGCCAGUUGCGUGACCACACAGCCAGGUCCAUUUUGGGAGUGCAAGUGUGUUUAAGUAGUCUGAUUUAUUUUGUUGUGGUUUAAUCGAUUGGUUUCUCUCCUCUUCCCUCAUGUUCUCUCAUAUGCCAAAAAGUUCCUGCUUUAUUUGUAUGCAUAUUAUUUAUAUAUGCAUUUGUCAAAUGUGUUUCUGAUAGGGUUUUGAAGAGAAGGAUUGGGCUUCUCUGACUAUUUUAAUUUUUUCUUUAAGAUAAAAGUAUUAAAAUAUACUUACUAUUGGUUGCCUGGAUAGCAGAGCUUAUGCAGAGGAGGGGAUUUACUCUUCAGUAUCUCAGCCAUGUAUCUUGGUUGAAUUAUUCAGUUAGUCAGCUGCUUCAUGAAAUAUGAGUGUAUGGUUGCAUAAAAAAUGAAGUGAAAUAGUCUAUCUGGCCAUUCUGAAUCUUAAAUAAAGAUAGCACUGUUUUGAAUGUGUUAAAAAUAACAGAUUUUUCCUAUUUGCAGAGAUUAUGAUAAACCUUAAAUCAGAUCGUUCAGAAUUAGACACCUGAAACCAGGCAGACUUUCAACACAAGUUAGAUGAAUGAAAGAUGUACUGCAAUUAUCUAAUGCAUUUUCAUGAACUCCUCAAUUCUUCCUGCCUUGUGAAAGUAUGUAAGGAAAUGUGAUUUGGUUGAUCUGUAUUGUCAGAUUCGGUUGCACAAAAAUGAAGCAAACAUUGUGGCAUACAUUUAGGGUCAGCAUUUAGGGCCAAACUAAAAAAUCCAGAUCUCUUUUGGUGUAAGUGACUCUGAGUUUGAGCAUGAACCUCAAGGUUUGCCAUCUAAACAACUCAUCUCUAUUCUGGUGCCCAUACAUUUUUAUUUUUAAUGCUAAAGCAAUAAAGCGUACAUUUGAAGUGAUUUUUUCAAGUAUUAUCUGGGUCUUCUGGCCUUUUCUUGUUCACACCAGCUGCUGACAGAUUUGAAGGUGUGUGCCUCUGCAUGUUUGAAAAAGCUAUCAUAGAUGUUGGUAACAGCUGGGCUUUUAAAUGUUUUUGGCAGUCAGCACAAAGUGCAUGAACAUGUACAGACCAUAUUUCCUUCAUGUGUCAGUUUUCUAAUGACCUCUCUUAUUAUUUGAGCUUGAGAAGCUAGAGAACUGCCUCUUGGUCCACAGAAAUAGUUCCAGUUAUUACGGUCAAGGAUCUGAGGAACAUUUUUAUGAUGCUGAUUCAUCAAAUUUAGCUUUCAUCUUUUGUUGGCUGUCACGGGUGUACAAACUCAUGUGAUUUCCCCCAAACCUCUCUAAUUGAGAAGUUUCUAUGGAUAUCUUUCCUCAGUUGUUUAAACUGAGAAAGAUGCUGUUUUAUCCUUUGAAGGCUGGGAUUUUAGGUUACGGAACUCAGUGGUUUUUUCUCCAUUAGUGGUUUAAUGUGUAGCACAUUCCUCAGCAAGGUAAUUGAAUGCAACAUUUUAAAUUUAGUCACAUGCAAUCAUAUAAGUGUAUAAUAGAAAGAAAUUUGUGUUCACAGAUGCUCUAUCUAUCUGAUUCAGGUGUAAAAAGGUCUCCAAAGACAAGGUAGUCCAAGCCCUGUACAGCAGUAACUCUGGAUGCAUUUCCAGCACAUCAGGAGAACAUUACAGUUUAUAUACAACACGACUGUAUAAGAACUGAUUGCAAAUUCCCAAACCAUUUGCAUAAACCACAAACUGCCAAUUACCAAGCCAGCAAACUCAGCCAUAACCCCUGCAGUACUCUAUGUGCGUGUGUGCAUCAUGGGAUCUUUCUGAUACACCUCAGAGGUCAUCAUGUGGUACCUAUGCUUGUGAUGGUGUUUUUUAGUAUGUGCUGCAGAACCUCUCCAUAUGAGAUCAUCACAGUUGGCAGUUGUGGCUAUGAGUUCUUAGUCUAAUUAAUCCAGUUUUAUGUAUUAGUUCUAUCCCCCUCUCCUUUAUGUUUUUAACAUGAAGGCUUGUGAUUUUCUUUCUUUUCACUCUCAAGCUUUUAGUUUGGACAAGGAUCUCACUGGCUAAGUCUCAAACUUUUUCCACAUGCAAACA
rnacentral:lncRNA from 1 species